UGCUUGUCUCAAAGAUUAAGCCAUGCAAGUCUAUGCACAAGCCGACUACGGUGAAGCCGCGAAUGGCUCAUUACAACAGCCACCGUUUACCUGAUUCUGAUUUCCUACUCGGAUAUAUGUGGUAAUUCUAGAGCUAUACAUGCAACCAAGCUCCGACCGUAAGGGACGAGCGCAUUUAUUAGAACAAAACCAUCGGGCUUCGGCCUGAGGUUUGGUGAAUCUGAAUAACUGAGCUGAUAGCAUGGUCUUUGUACCGGCGACUCAUCUUCAUGUGUCUGCCUUAUCAACUUUCGAUGGUAGUUUAUGUGCCUACGAGGGUUGUAACGGGUAACGGAGAAUAAGGGUUCGACACCGGAGAGGGAGCCAGAGAAACGGCUACCACAUCCRAGGAAGGCAGCAGGCA
rnacentral:rRNA from 1 species